rnacentral:rRNA from 1 species
GCUUGCUCCUGAAUUCAGCGGCGGACGGGUGAGUAAUGCCUAGGAAUCUGCCUGGUAGUGGGGGACAACGUUUCGAAAGGAACGCUAAUACCGCAUACGUCCUACGGGAGAAAGCAGGGGACCUUCGGGCCUUGCGCUAUCAGAUGAGCCUAGGUCGGAUUAGCUAGUUGGUGAGGUAAUGGCUCACCAAGGCGACGAUCCGUAACUGGUCUGAGAGGAUGAUCAGUCACACUGGAACUGAGACACGGUCCAGACUCCUACGGGAGGCAGCAGUGGGGAAUAUUAGACAAUGGGCGAAAGCCUGAUCCAGCCAUGCCGCGUGUGUGAAGAAGGUCUUCGGAUUGUAAAGCACUUUAAGUUGGGAGGAAGGGUUGUAGAUUAAUACUCUGCAAUUUUGACGUUACCGACAGAAUAAGCACCGGCUAACUCUGUGCCAGCAGCCGCGGUAAUACAGAGGGUGCAAGCGUUAAUCGGAAUUACUGGGCGUAAAGCGCGCGUAGGUGGUUCGUUAAGUUGGAUGUGAAAUCCCCGGGCUCAACCUGGGAACUGCA